rnacentral:rRNA from 1 species
AAACCAGCACCUCAAGUGGUCAGGAUGAUUAUUGGGCCUAAAGCAUCCGUAGCCGGCUCUGUAAGUUUUCGGUUAAAUCUGUACGCUUAACGUACAGGCUGCUGGGAAUACUGCAGAGCUAGGGAGUGAGAGAGGUAGACGGUACUCGGGAGGAAGUGGUAAAAUGCUUUGAUCUCUCGAUGACCACCUGUGGCGAAGGCGGUCUACCAGAACACGUCCGACGGUGAGGGAUGAAAGCUGGGGGAGCAAACCGGAUUAGAAACCCCAGUAGUCC